rnacentral:lncRNA from 1 species
CUUGCGGUGAUGGGGCAGGCUGUUUCUUAGGGAGAUUGCUCUAAUCUAAGAGGGAGCAGGAAGCCAAAGCCGGGAGAAGAUAGAAGAACUGGGAAAAUAGAUCCUGUAAGAACAAAAGAGAAGCCAUUGAAAGAAGUAAAAGAAAGCAUCCUUCCAGGUUCUGGAGAUGCAACAGUGAGCAAAACAGAUGCCUAGCUCUCGUGGGAAGGAGACAGUAAGCCAACAGGCGGAUGAGCAUGUAAAAACAUCAGAAGAGACCACAGUUGGUAACGAGGCAAAGUCGGAGGUUAGAGACCGUGAGACCUGCAUUGAUCCAUACGUAUAGGAGUUCCUUGGCUCUUUGCUGUUGCAAAAAUGGCUGGG